AUGAUAACUCAAAAACUGCUUCAAAGAUGUUGAUGAAAAUCAAAUCGGACUAGCUUUGAGAUAGUUUGUCUACAUAAAAAUAAUAUAUUUCAAAAUCGGUCCACGCAACUCCGAGUAACUGGUUAACAAACUUGAAGUUAAUUGAUUGUUAAGGAUACUAAAAUGUCGUAUAUUUCCAAAACCCCAUACAUUUGGAUGAAAUCGUUAUGAUAAUCAUGAUCAAUCGAAGGAUGCGCUUCCGAUAGUUUCAAGUCUGUUGGUGGGUAGGGACAGGGUCCAUUCACAAUCCGGCAUUGUCCCUUGAAUGUGAAUCAGAAUCAUGUCAGUGUCUUAUUUCUUCUUCCAUUUUCUUCAUGGAGAUUGCAUGGGGUUGCAUGUCAACGAAGGUUGUAUUCCAUGUCGCUACAGAGCAUUUCGGUUUCCGAAUCUGAAUAUCUUAUCCGAAAACCGAAUGUGUGCAUCCAGUCGUAAUACUCGUAAUCUGUGAGUCGCGUCGCGUCGUCGUAUAGGAAAAAUAUUCGUCAUGAUAAAUUAAAAUGCAAUUGGCAACUGGCAACAUUCAUGGAACGAAAAUAACUCCUCUUUUGGCGCAAAGGCUAGAGGGCCAUGCCAUUAAAAAUUAAAAAAAAAAAAUAACUCCUCUGACAAGUUCGACUGUCUGCCCUAUGGGCAAAAAAAAAAAAAAAUCAAGUUCGACUGCUUGAAGGGUGGUUCUUUCUUUCUUCUAUCUAUGUAUGCGAGCCAUGAGAUUACCAACAAUCGACAACAGAAGAAUUAUUAAUUGAGAAAUACAUCCAAGUAAUAGUUAAAUAACCUAUAUAAUAAUACAAUCAUGUUCCGCUUACCCUAUGGAGAAAGAGUUGACCCCAUGGAAGAAAAGCGCCAAGCGCGUGAGAAUACCAUCAGUAGCGUGAUUACUUUCGCUAUACUUUGUGCCGCUAUCAGAGUGGCACCCAUAAUACUGGAACACAGUGGUCUUCAAGCUUAAGGCUAUACAUAAGAUACAAACCAAAAAAUGCUGGAAGAUUUAAUCAGCAGGUAGCUGCAUUGUUUAUUAUAGAAGAUGUUUAUUUCAAAUAAAUUCAUGUGAGCAA